GCCGGGCAUAAUGGCAUUUGCCUGUAAUCCCAGCUACUCGGGAGGCUGAGGCAGGAGAAUCACUUGAACCCAGGAGGCGGAGGUUGCAGUGAGCCAAGAUAGCACCACUGCACUCCAGCCUGGGUGACAGAGUGAGACUCUGUCUCAA
ensembl:misc_RNA Metazoa_SRP Metazoan signal recognition particle RNA